rnacentral:rRNA from 1 species
GAUGAACGUUGGCGGUGUGCCUAAUACAUGCAAGUCGAACGAAGUUGAUAGCAAUAUUAGCUUAGUGGCGAACGAGUGAGUAACGCGUUGGUGAUCUGCCUUGAAGUGUGGAAUAACGUUUCGAAAGGAACGCUAAUACCGCAUGUGCUCUCGAUUUUCAGAAAGUUGAGAGUAAAGGAUUUAUUCGCUUCAAGAGGAGCCUGCGUCCCAUCAGCUGGUUGGUAGGGUAACGGCCUACCAAGGCUAUGACGGGUAGGGGACCUGAGAGGGUGGCCCCCCACAAUGGAACUGAAACACGGUCCAUACACCUACGGGUGGCAGCAGUAGGGAAUAUUAGAAAUGGACGAAAGUCUGAUCUAGCAACACCGCGUGUGCGAAGAAGGCCUUCGGGUCGUAAAGCACUUUUUGGUAAGGAAUAGGAAGGAAUGUACUUCCAGAAUAAGUCUCGGCUAACUACGUG